UCUCAGAUGACUGUGUGGUUCCGAAUUCAAGCCGAAGCUUUGAACCUGUUCUCCGAGAUACACAGCCAACCAGUCAUAGUUGCAUCAUUGGCAUCAUAGCAUGUUUAUUUUAAAAAAAAGUAAUGCAUGAAAAAAAUGAUGAUGAAAAAAAAGAAGAACAAGUUAACAUGCAUGUGCAUAUCCUUUCUCAGGAUCAUUCAUGAUAAAAUAUCACCCAUAUCAUACAUAUCAUGCACAUAUCAUUCUUGCAUUAUAGACAUGCUUGGGAGAGAUUUCUCACUCUGGUUCCUGACUGAGACAGGAUUGCUGAUCAUCG
rnacentral:lncRNA from 1 species